rnacentral:rRNA from 1 species
CCUACGGGUGGCAGCAGUCGAGAAUCAUUCACAAUGGGGGAAACCCUGAUGGUGCGACGCCGCGUGGGGGAAUGAAGGUCUUCGGAUUGUAAACCCCUGUCAUGUGGGAGCAAAUUAAAAAGAUAGUACCACAAGAGGAAGAGACGGCUAACUCUGUUCCAGCAGCCGCGGUAAUACAGAGGUCUCAAGCGUUGUUCGGAAUCACUGGGCGUAAAGCGUGCGUAGGCUGUUUCGUAAGUCGUGUGUGAAAGGUGCGGGCUCAACCCGCGGAUGGCACAUGAUACUGCGAGACUAGAGUAAUGGAGGGGGAAGCGGAAUUCUCGGUGUAGCAGUGAAAUGCGUAGAUAUCGAGAGGAACACUCGUGGCGAAGGCGGGUUCCUGGACAUUAACUGACGCUGAGGCACGAAGGUCAGGGGAGCGAAAGGGAUUAGAUACCCGGGUAGUC